ACAAAGAGUGUUCAACUGACCAUCCUUCACUACAUGUGGCUAUGCCACUGUAAUCAUUAUUCAUGACAUAUAAAUACUAGCAAGGUCAAAGAGAUGGUUUGUGUAGAAAAGGAAAUGAGGAAAACUUGCCUCUGCUUCAACUUCAAUAGCUCAUUUCUACUUCCUACUAAGAGCUUCAACUUCAUGAACUCAUUUCUGUUUUCAACUAAAUGCAGUUUUCUUACUGUUAGAAAUAAAGGGAGUAGAAGUGGAUUGGUGAAUCUUUACAAGGAUAUGGAGGCUUGUGCAGGAUACAAUGAUAUACAAGUUAUGUGGGAGAUGAUUCACUCCAAUGUCAAUGAAACCAAAUGCAAGAAAAGGCCUUUUUUCUGGAGAUUUUAUAACAAAAUUAGAGUUUAGUACAUAUAGAAUGUGCUUGUUUCUUUCUCAUAGGAAUUGAGACCUUGGUAAGUAUAAAUUCGAUACAAGUUUGCUUAGACAUCAUCGAGUUGUUUUGAUUAUGUCCUCUGUUCCAUCACCGUGCAAUGGAUGGACGGUGAGGGCUCGUAUUGACUAUGGUAAGGUCUUUACUCAUAGUUGGUGGAGUCAUAAGUCAUAACUAGAAUGUCCUUUGUGUAGCUUGGUAAGGAACUUUUGAAUUGUGGAUACAUGAUCCACUCUGUACUUAUAAGACCUAUUGCUUUUGCAAUUUGGGAUCCUCAUUUUCGUCCAUAUUUGGCUUCUUCUUAAGUUGUUCUUUUGUACAUGGUCACACAGAUGUUCAAUUCCAACAUAUAUAUAUUCCAAGUGGUGGACAAACUUGCUUCCCUUCGCCAUUCGUUUGAUCAAUCCCAAAGCUUCAACUCUUUUAAUUUGCUGAUUUGCUUAGUUCUAUUGAGAUUUCAACCCCCUUGACGGCCCUUUUAUAUAUUUCUAUAGGUAUAGGAGUUGUCGAGAGGUCUGUCAAAUUAGGUCUUGGUCCAAACUCAUUCCCCAAAAGCUAGCUUAAACAGAGAAGGAUUGUGCAAGCCUUAUAAGGACACCACCCUUCAUUCUUCAACAAGGUCUUAACACCUUUUGUAAAGAUUACAUCUACUUAGCAAUAAA